rnacentral:misc_RNA from 1 species
GAUCUAGACAAAACAAGUGCCACCGGUGGGCUUUGAAAAACGCUUUCCUUGAUAAAAUUUAAGCGUUUUAUAAGAGGAUGCCGGGGAAGGUUUUCCGGUUUAUCCCGGAGGGCUUGUAGCUCAGUUGGUUAGAGCGCGCGCUUGAUAAGCGUGAGGUCGGAGGUUCAAGUCCUCCCAGGCCCACCAGUUUAUCCAUUACUUUCAUAAGUGCUUUUAAAAAAUAAGUACUUCUAAAAAGAUUGCUUCUAAAAAGCUUAUCAAAAUUGGCAGGCUUAUUGCUUUUGUGUGAGUAAUCCAAAGUUAAAGCAAAUUAAUGGCAAAAAAACAGUUCAAAUGCUAAAUACUAAGGAGUCAAAAUUCCUUGCAAAGUGAUUUUUACAGCGUCCAUUUGGUUGAUAUAAAUUCCAAAUGCUCAUAGACGUCAGAUGCCUAUAUGAAACUAUCGGUUCAAUCAUUAUCGCUUUGAAGUGAUAUAGAUUUUGUAAUCCCU